UUUGAUGUAUCUUCUGGGGAGAAGGGGUUUUGCUUUCUCUUUUGCUCUCCUCCCCUCCAAUUCUUUAAUGUUGUAUUCAUUCUAGGAAAAUGUCAGAUGACAUAUGGAUUUUUUUUAAAAAGUUAAUUUUGACCAGUCAUCAGUGCUUUGUAUGAGAUGGACAAUGACGGCUUUGGCCAAAUUAUGAGCCCUUUUACUUGAAGCUCUGGUUCCACAGGUGCUCACUAUCUGAUAUCAACAGAAAAGGAGAAACGUGUUAUACUGAUCAGUGGCCAUUGAUUCUUCCUCCUCUUGGGAAACUCAACUUUUCAGGAAACACAUGUACAGAUGUUGCUCACGCUCACAAAAUGGUUGUGGAAUGCUGACAGGAAAGUCAGGUGCUGUUUUAUGUUGAUAUUUCCUUACUGUUUAAACCUGUGAGCAGGUUUCUGUUGAGUUACUUGCACUUCUUGGCUCAGAAAGUCUGGAUAGCAGUCCAGGUGCCACACAGAUGGUCUUUUGCAGAGGCUUCGUUUUGUCUUCCAUUACCUAAUUUGCUGGGAUGGCUUUAAGGCUGAUAAGAAUGCUAAUGAAAAAUUUUCCUGUCUUUUGUAUCAUGGUGCUAAGGAUACUGAUUAAGUCAUUAAACUUCUGGGCCCGGGGAGGAAGUGAACUCUACUGUGAAGAUGCAGAGGAAUAUCAGAGUUCCUGCAUUCUCAAGCAUAGACCAGGUUAUCAAGAUGAGCAAGACUUUCCUGAAGUUGCAGGAUGAAUGGGGAUAGUCUGACUCCAAAACUUACUUGGGCAUGAAAGUUUGUUUAGCUACCAAUGAGAUGAAAGAUGGAGAGGCCUUGCCCUUCUGAGCAUUGCUGCCUCACUGGUGGACCAGCAGUUCAGAUGUUGACCACAUCAGCUGCCAUCUGUGAAUGGCUUAAGUUGAGUGGAGUGAGGCAUCUACCUCUUGGCUGAGCAGAGGAAGAAUAAUCUGGUAGAGUCACAACUGACAUCAGCUACGAUGCCAUCCUCAAAGCCAUCCUUUAAAUGCGUGGAGUGGGAAGUAUGUAUGAGAAGUGAAGGCUACACAAGACAAGUAUAUCUUGUUAUGGAGUCUCAGGACACAGCUCCACAGGCAAAGUCCAAGGCUCCCUGUCAUCGAGAUGGAAAGGUCUUUCUCUAUCCAAAGACCAGAGAGUUAUAUGCCACAGAACUUGCAUGGUAAUUAAUCACUUAGUGACAUUUCAACAUGUGAGAAAAAAAGGAAAAAAAAAAAAAAGUCUGUCUCUUUCACAUUAGAGUGAAAAACUGUGAAGUCUGUCAGUAAACAUUCUGAUCAGACAUUAAUUUCAUAGCAGUCUCAUUUUGAUGCCUGACACUGCUGUGUCAUCUGGUCUUUCUCAUUCAUUCUGUGCAUUUGUUAUUUUAAUCUUAAAAUGUCUCUCUGUGCAAUUCAGUUGAGAGAUUUCUGUUUUCAAUAAUUUAUUUGCCAUAAUGCUUUCCUUCCUCCUUCAGACCUCUCUGAAAUCAAGCACUGCAGUCCACUGACAUGUUGACAGUUUUGCAUGAAUUUAUGAAAAAGGAGUUGGAAUUGGCUGACAAAGAUUUGUUUAUUAUUAUUAAACCCACUGUGCAUCUAAGUUGCUCUUCUGAAAAGAAAAUUAAGAGAAGGGGGAACUGAAAAAAGUGUUUGAAAUGUAUGAUUAAGAAUAUAUUCUAUUACUCAGUUUACAAUAUAUAAUUUUAAGAAUUAAGCCUGCUGCCUUGAGGCAGAAAUUCUUGCUCUAAAUUGUAAGCAGGACUACCUUAAUGGUAUUGUUUAAUAUGCUGAGAGGAAGUGAAAAUGGAUGUUCCAACACAGGGAAAAAUGUAAGUACAGAGUUGGUUGUUUAAUUGAGUUCCUUUUGCUUAAGAAGAAAAACAAAACAAAACAUCUUGGUAACAAAACAAAAAGAUAUCAAAUAUAAACAUAUCUGCUGGAUAUUUUCUUAUAUACUUGUUCUGGUAAAAGGUUAAAAUGCGUAAGUGUAAGUGAUCCAAGCGUCACAGAAGUGACACCUCAUCUUUUUGAAAUGACACACUGUGGAAUGUGCUAAGUUAUUGUAUCACGUAAGGCUUGUACUCCCUUCAUUUGCAUGUGCUCCUAUUUCACAUUCAUAUUUCCUUUAACACUUCAGCCUUGUCUGUCCAUUCAGUAUUUGGCUUUGCACUUGCCUGGUCUGUGGUAACAACCCCAGGCCCAGCUUCCCACAGCAGAGGCCUGGCACUCACCAAGCAAGGACUGCAUGGCACAUGCCAGCUCAAACACCACACUUCCUUUUUCUGUUUUCCUGCCCAGAGAGGCCAGCCAACCAAAGAUGAAAUUCCUCCAUUCCUGGAACAUCUGGCUUAGCCUUUCAAUACUCAUAAUUAUCCUCCCAUUUCCAGCUCUCUGCAGGUGCAGGGAAGUGCAGUGCAGGUUCUCUGAGAACACAGCUCUGCAGUGGCUAAGUUCACCUACAAAUCUUGGGUAAAUGCAUGCCAUAUGAUUUAACAUACACUCAUGCUUUUAUAAUUUUUACUAAGAAAGGACCUCAGUGAUAAAUUGUCAGUUGGAAUAAUAUUACACUAUAAGGUUAUGAAGCCUAGAGCAAAAUCUCCAGUUCAUAAUAAGUGUAGAACUUCGUAUUGCAAUUAAAAUUUUCAUUUCAGCAUCUUAUGCUGCCAUAUCACUUAUGCCUUUGCCAUUUACCUCUAUAUCACUCUUCAUUCACUUUUUAUCCCCUCUCUCAACACAGGCUUUAAUUUCUCUGUUGCUUUUUAUCUUCAUUCACUGUUCUUUACUCAUCAGUUGACCACUUGCUGACUUCAUUUCUCACAGUAACCCCAGGAAAAUCUUCCUAUGCAUUCCCUGGCAGUGAGAUGUUGCUGUAGUCCACAUAGUCAAUUAGAGGGGCUCUGACCUGUGAAUGUCGUCAGAGCCAUGACCUGUUCCUUGUUUGGCUCAGCACGGCUUGCCUAAGCAGAUGGUGAGUAAUGGCAUGCAACGCCUACUUAUCUUCCUGUGCCUCUCUCCAUAUGGUUCCUGUAUUAGACCUGGAAAAAAACUGAAGGAGGUAGUGUGAAUAGGAAAUUAAUUUAAUUAAGCUCCAUAAAGUUGCUGCUAAAAAUACUUGUGUUCUUGUACUUGCUCAAGUGGCAGCACAUACCUGAGAAAGAAAUAUGCAGCUCUCUUGAUGUUAGCAGAGUUACACCUACCUGUACUAUAUCUAAAUCUUACUGUGUGGUGUGUAAGUCUGUAAGCCACUUGAGCACACCUAUAAGUUUCUCAUUUUCCCACUAAAAUCAUCUCAUGACAAGUGUGAGAUCUUACAGUAGUAAUAUAAUAUCUGUAAAUGUUCUGACACUACGCAUAAGUACACAGUCUUAGAAAUGGAUAAUGUCACUUGCUCCUCUUGUUGGUGGUAAAUAAUAUUUAUACAUAUGAAACAACCUGAAAUUAAAAUGAAUGUGUUUAGAUCAUC